GGAGUUUGGGCCGUGUCUCAGUCCCAAUGUGGCCGUUCACCCUCUCAGGCCGGCUACUGAUCGUCGCUUUGGUGGGCCGUUACCCCGCCAACUGGCUAAUCAGACGCGGAUCCAUCGUAUACCGUCUCGGCUUUUCACACUGAAACAUGCGUUUCUGUGCGCUUAUGCGGUAUUAGCAGUCAUUUCUAACUGUUAUCCCCCUGUAUACGGCAGGUUAUCCACGCGUUACUCACCCGUCCGCCACUAAGUUACAACAUGAUUUGACCGAAGUCUCCUCGGCGUUAUAACUCCGUUCGACUUGCAUGUGUUAGGCACGCCGCCAGCGUUCAUC
rnacentral:rRNA from 1 species